GAUGAACGCUGGCGGCGUGCCUAAUACAUGCAAGUCGAGCGAACGGACGAGAAGCUUGCCUCUCUGAUGUUAGCGGCGGACGGGUGAGUAACACGUGGAUAACCUACCUAUAAGACUGGGAUAACUUCGGGAAACCGGAGCUAACACCGGAUAAUAUUUUGAACCGCAUGGUUCAAAAGUGAAAGACGGUCUUGCUGACACUAAUAGAUGGAUCCGCGCUGCAUUAGCUAGUUGGUAAGGUAACGGCUUACCAAGGCAACGAUGCAUAGCCGACCUGAGAGGGUGAUCGGCCACACUGGAACUGAGACACGGUCCAGACUCCUACGGGAGGCAGCAGUAGAGAAUCUUCCGCAAUGGGCGAAAGCCUGACGGAGCAACGCCGCGUGAGUGAUGAAGGUCUUCGGAUCGUAAAACUCUGUUAUUAGGGAAGAACAUAUGUGUAAGUAACUGUGCACAUCUUGACGGUACCUAAUCAGAAAGCCACGGCUAACUACGUG
rnacentral:rRNA from 1 species